UAGGGAAUCUUCGGCAAUGGGGGGAACCCUGACCGAGCAACGCCGCGUGAGUGAAGAAGGUUUUCGGAUCGUAAAGCUCUGUUGUUAAGGAAGAACGAGUGUGAGAAUGGAAAGUUCAUGCUGUGACGGUACUUAACCAGAAAGGGACGGCUAACUACGUGCCAGCAGCAGCGGUAAUACGUAGGUCCCGAGCGUUGUCCGGAUUUAUUGGGCGUAAAGCGAGCGCAGGCGGUUAGAAAAGUCUGAAGUGAAAGGCAGUGGCUCAACCAUUGUAGGCUUUGGAAACUGUUUAACUUGAGUGCAGAAGGGGAGAGUGGAAUUCCAUGUGUAGCGGUGAAAUGCGUAGAUAUAUGGAGGAACACCGGUGGCGAAAGCGGCUCUCUGGUCUGUAACUGACGCUGAGGCUCGAAAGCGUGGGGAGCGAACAGG
rnacentral:rRNA from 2 species